UACCUGCAGCUCAAGUGGUGAUCAUUAUUAUUGGGCCUAAAACGUCCGUAGCCGGUUUAGUAAAUGCCUGGGUAAAUCGUGUAGCUUAACUAUACGACUUCCGGGUAGACUGCUAAACUUGAGACCGGGAGAAGCUAGAGGUACUCCUGGGGUAGAGGUGAAAUUCUGUAAUCCUAGGGGGACCACCAGUGGCGAAGGCGUCUAGCUAGAACGGGUCUGACGGUGAGGGGCGAAGCCCUGGGGCACAAACCGGAUUAGAUACCCGGGUAGUCCAGGGUGUAAACGCUGCUUGCUUGAUGUUAGUUGGGCUCCGAGCCCAACUAGUGUCGGAGAGAAGUUGUUAAGCAAGCUGCCUGGGAAGUACGGUCGCAAGGCUGAAACUUAAAGGAAUUGGCGGGGGAGCACAGCAACGGGUGGAGCGUGCGGUUU
rnacentral:rRNA from 1 species